GACGAACGCUGGCGGCGUGCCUAAUACAUGCAAGUCGAGCGGGUUUCAAGGGGCUUGCUCCUUGGAGCCAGCGGCGGACGGGUGAGUAACACGUGGGCAAUCUGCCUGUCAGACCGGAAUAACGCCUGGAAACGGGUGCUAAUGCCGGAUAGAGCAAUGGGCAGGCAUCUGCCUGUUGGGAAAGGCGCAAAGGCGCUGCUGACAGAGGAGCCCGCGGCGCAUUAGCUAGUUGGCGGGGUAACGGCCCACCAAGGCGACGAUGCGUAGCCGACCUGAG
rnacentral:rRNA from 1 species